UAGAGCAACAGUUAGCAAAGCAAUGCCGAAAAUCCACCAGUAAAAAUCAUUCCAUGGUUCGGUUGUAGAACUAUCGGUUUGGAGGACCCGAGUCGACUUUACAUCUUUUCCACUUGCUACGGUGCACAUCAAUAUUCCAAAGAAGGGCUCUCACUCACAGCACUGAAUAUUAUAUUCAAAGGCAUGGGUACGUUGAAGUCUAAAGCAUAAUUUUUGCAGACGCUGGCAAGGAAGAACAUAACAACCAAGGUCAUGUACUUCUUGAGUCCUAUAGUUGGUUUUACCGUGCCACAUUUUGAGGUAAAUAUGAAUCCUUUGAGAGCAAUAAAAAAGAACUGGGAGAAAGUGAUAAGAUUACCGCUUCCAGGGUCCUCUCUGAAACAUGUUGUUCCAAAUUAAUUAUACACUCGGUGAAAAACUAUGAGAAAAUAUUUUUUACAUACUGAAUCAGAAGUUCCAAAAAAAUUACGUUAACGCAGCACCCUAAAAUUACUAGAGAAAUUGUAAUAAUCUCUUUCAUUCUUGCCGAAAUAAGAAUUAAACAAUUUCACCUUCUAGCAGGUUGUAAAGUCACUAAUCAACUAAUAGUUACCAUCAUCUCCGGAGCUUGUCUUAGGCACUUAAGUUCUAAAGAUGCAGGAAAUAGGUCCCCAGACAUUCGAAUCACACCAAUUAACUAAGAAUCUUAAUUCUUAUCUUGAUGAUAAAACACUUAAUUAUUUUAUGGUUGCUAGUUUGGGUCGAAUACUAGCACCAGUUAUGAAUUUUACACUUACGAAUUGUCAUGCUAUUAUACUUCUAAUCACUUCUCUUCAGAUGUUUUUUUUUGUCAAUUCUCAAGAUAAUAAGUUGUUGAUUAUACAUAAUGUAUACAUUGGCAUACAUAAUCUUAUUGAUUACAAUAAUCGAGUACAAGAUUGAUCAGUCGAAUCAUUGAUUUCACUGAAGUUACAAAACAGGUUUUGCAUUUCAUUUAAUUUUAUAAUUUUUUUGUAAAAAUCAACGGGCGCGUUAUUUAUUUAAAAAAAAAAAAUAAAUACAUAACAUCACGUUUUUGAUUCUGCUGAUCGAGAUAAGUGAAUUGGAUGCGAAGGACUUCGAGCCAAUCUUUUACGCGGUAGUUUUUCAAGCGUAGUUAAUAAUUUAGCAAACUCUGGUCGUUUCUCUGAAUUAUAUGACCAACAAAGUAUCAGAAUGUCCUGAAAAAAAAAAAAACAGUAAGACAAAUGUAGUUCGGAUCAUAUCGCGUUUGACUACGAAAUGGUCGUACCUUGACGUCGCGGGAUGCUUGAAGAUUGGCUAAGGCUUGUUUCAUUCCUUUACCGACUUGCCAAAUUAUAGCCUCCGGAGGUUGUCCUUUGAACGGCCACUCUCCGCAGAGAAGCUCGUACCAGACAGUCCUUUGUGAGGCGCAUGAAAAUGGUAACUCUUCUUGGUCCCUGUUUUGCUGAGGCCUGAGUCGUCGAACAACUUCAGGAGCCAAAUAACAUAACCAACCUGGUGGUAUGCUCAAACCGUUUCCUUUUCUGUUAUAAUUUCACAUUCAGAUUUAGUCAUUGAAUUAUUAUGGCCAAAAGAAGAAAAACAAAAUGAUCUUCUCCACUUUACCUAUUGCCGUAACACAACUUUGUUACACUAAACAAUCCAAAGUCCGUAAUAACGACUUUUCCAUUUUCUAGGAAUAUAUUUUUGCUCUUCAGAUCCUUGUGCACUAUACCACGGGCAUGAAGAUACCCCAUUCCCUGUAACGUGAAUAUGUUUCAAGGUGAUAUUCGGAUUUCCACAGCGCGAUUACGGUAACAAAUUUAAAAGCAAGACGAAAUUACCUGAGAUAUUUGUUGGGCAAUGAUAGUUGUUUUAUUCAUGUUAAAUUUAUCUUUACGGAGAUGGAUGUGAGUGUAAAGAGUCAUGCCUUUGCUCAUACUAGUGACUAUUGCCAAACGAGGAGGCUUCAUACAAGCACCCAUAAAUAGAACUAGAUUUUCAUGUCUUGUUUUUCGGAAUGUUGCUACCUGUGAAAAAAAUGGGGAAAAGAUUAUAAAUGAAAGAAUAUUGGCACCCUGAUAAUAGAGUACAAGAAGAUGAGCCAACCUCUAGUUUAAACGCUUCCAGCGUUUUGUCAUCGUCCAGGUAGUAGUCCAUGUUUAAAACUUUAAUUGCUACGUCUCCGUGCCAGUUUCCUCGAUAAACUGUACCAAACCUCCCGGUCCCGAUAGGCUCUCCAAUUUUGAGUUCAUCGUAUGGAAUGUCCCAUUCUCUCAUCGAGAGCUGGAAUAACAUAAUUCGAUUUGACAAAGUUUAGCGACAGAGCCAAAAUUCUUAUUUGUUCCAAGUUUGAGUCGGUGUAUUCGGUUAAUUCCGGAUUAAGAAAAAUGGUUACGAUCGAAUUGAAAUAGAACACUGUUAACACAGCUGUAUUUGUUUCAAAUUAUUUGAGGUGUUUGUAAACUUACGCUAUUUUGUCGCGGCCAACGACUAUCACCAGGCUCACCGUCAGACACUUGAGAAUCUUGAGAAUCAACGCGUACCGGAGUUCUCUCUGAGUCAGUGCUCACGCUUCCUGAUCCAGAAACACUAACUGUUCUCUCACUGUCACUUGAAACAUUAGUACCUUCCAACCUGUGCGUUUCCAGCGUUACGCCUUUUUCAGGAAGGAUCACAUCUGCGAUUGAUAAAUUUAUACAAAAAUUAUUGUAAAGCAAAGGCGUUUCCAUUUAUAUUAGCCAAAAAAACUGGUAAUAUUAAUCUACCUGGAAAAUUGAACUGCUGUUUAGCAGGUGCUUGGGAAGUUUGACUAGCAUUAACGGGGUGUAAUGCCGGACUAGAUGGUGUCGAGCUAUUACAACUCGAAGUAUUUGAACUAGAAUCAGCGCCCUGUAAAGAUGAUGAAAUUUGAGUAAACAAAUUACGUGAUAGAAUUUUUUCCUCAAAUAGCUUGACAGGGUUGAAUCGGAAACGGCUGAAGUGCGUAGAAAAAGGACCUGCGUGUUACGUUACGUUGUUCUCGACGAUGAGUAAAAAAAAGGGAAAACAAGAAUCUCUUUCAAAUAUUAGCGAUCCAAAGUCCCGCUAUAAUUCGAGAAUCUUGUAUAUCAUUAGCACCUUUAUUAACAAUAGUUAUUAAAACAAUGGAGAAACUAAUUACAUACCUGAAAGGGUAUAUUCAUUGAGGAAUGAGGAUGCGUACGUUUCCGAUUUAAAGAACUGGAUAUAAUUGCAUUAUGAUGAUUUGAAGAUGUUAUCCCAGGCCUGGUUAGUAUUGGAGAAACAUUCGUCAUAGCUGAAGAUAUUUUAUUUUUUAAUGGCGAUUAAAUAAAUGCGGUAUCUUGUAAUUACA